GUGCCAGCCGCCGCGGUAAUACGUAGGGGGCAAGCGUUGUCCGGAUUUACUGGGCGUAAAGAGCGCGUAGGCGGAGACGGAAGUCCGGUGUGAAAGCCCACGGCUUAACCGUGGAAGGUCGCUGGAAACUCCGUUUCUUGAGCACGAUAGAGGGAAGUGGAAUUGCUGGUGUAGCGGUGAAAUGCGUAGAUAUCAGCAGGAACACCCGUGGCGAAGGCGGCUUCCUGGAUCGUUGCUGACGCUGAGGCGCGAAAGCGUGGGGAGCGAACGGGAUUAGAAACCCCUGUAGUCC
rnacentral:rRNA from 1 species